CCCUGCACCCGCCCCGGGGCGGGGCUCCCGCUGGCUCCCGGCUGUCCUUUCCACCGCGGCUUGGGCCGAGGCUGCUGUGUCCUGCAGAGCUCCCGAGCACGUGCAGUGCCCAGCUGCCGAUUUCAGGAGAUGCCUGCCCUGGAUGACUUGGAAGUAGGGUGGUCUUCACCCCCCUGAAGGAAGUAGUAACCCACAACAGUCCAAGUGUGGUUAUCAGAUCCGAAUGAGGAAUCUGCCUCCAUCGGGACUUCAGGUUUCUGACACCACCAUGUUCUGAGUAAUGUGUGCGAGCACUGCUCCUUAUCUUGUGUUGGGGAUUAAACCCAGGAUUAACCUACCAGCUGUGCUGCAUCCCCAGCCCAAGACCUGUCAAAAAUGAUUCCCUCGGACACAAAAAAAUAAUUAGCUGGGCAGCAGUGGAGCGUGCCUUUACUCCCAGCACUAAGAAGGCAGAGGCCGUCUGCUCUCAAACUUGCCUCAAUUGGGACUGCAGGCAUUAGCCACCCUAAUUAAUGUUUUAAUGCAUUUAGUUCUACAUAGAUAUGUAGCUAGAGUUUUCCUGCCUGGCCCACAGUCACGACAAAUCUCUCUCACCUGCCAGUCCCACAGCAGCUCAGACCCAACCAAAUAAACAGAGACUUAUAUUGCUUACAAAUUAUAUGGCCGUACCAGGCUUCUUGCUAACUGUUCUUAUAUCUUAAUCCAUUUCUAUAAAUCUAUACCUUGCCACGUGACUCAUGGCUUACCGGCAUCUUCACAUGCUGUUCAUCAUGGUGGCGGCUGGCAGUGUCUCUGACUCAGCCUUCCAUUUCUCAGAAUUCUUCUCCUCCUUGUCCCGCCUAUACUUCCUCCUGCCUGACUACUGGCCAGUGUUUUAUUUACUAACCAAUCAGAGCAACACAUUUGCCAUACAGAACAUCCCACAGCAUAGAUACAUGCCUUUUCCUGGUAAGAAGUUCCUUAUUGCCGGAUCAGAUCCUGGGCUGCCUCCCCCCACUUUUUUUUUUUUUUUUAGCUUGGCAUUGAAAAUCACCUAUCUGUACCAGGCUUUCAGGCCUUCAUUCUUUUUGGUUUUUCGAGACAGGGUUUCUCUGUGUAGCUUUGGCGCCUUUCCUGGAACUCACUCUGUAGCCCAGGCUGGCUUGAACUCAGAGAUCGCCUGCCUCUGCCCCCCUAGUGCUGGGAUCAAAGGCAUUCGCCAGCAGGCCUUCAUUCUUACCAUCCCUAGUGCAGGCCACAACACCAAAGCCUUAAGUAGAGAGUUCUUGAAUUCUAAGCUCCAUGCCUGGCCCUCCUUAAGGCCAGAUUUCUUAGUCGCCGCAUCAGAGGACAGUCCUCCAGGGUGUAGUCUUUCCAGUCUUUCCAUCCCCAAACUUCUAAAAUGUGCUUUGUGAAUACAGUCUCACAAAUCUGUCUCUUAACUAGUCUGCCUUCCAUUUCACUGCAGAGCUUCAAUAAAUACUCAAUUAAAAGAACUUUUGAUUUCUAUACAUGUGGGGGACCCACCCCCAUGUUCUCCCCCCAGGAUACUCUUUGAGGAGUGAGGGAUAAGAGAUUUAGAUAGAAAUACAGAGUGGGGAGAGACAGAAACAGGAUAAACUUGGGAGGGCCUGGAUCUUAGUCCACUGGCCCCUUCUGUCUCUGCAAAAGGGCUAUUUAUAGGAAUGCCAAAGGGUGGAGCAAAAGACCCCUCCCUAGCACAGCCAAGUGCAGACCCUUCCAAACACCUGGUGACCAUGCAUGUGAUCAAUCCAUCCCCUUAUGCAGCCCUGUUGGGUAAAGCAAGCUCAGAUCUCAUUAGGAAACCUCUGUGGGCCCCCACAUACACAAUUAUGAGAUGCCAUUAGAGUGUGUAAACAUUUGGUUAAGUGUAUUGAGAUUUGAUAGGAAGAUCUUAAUAUUUCAAUGACCAUUGGGUUUUGCUAUCACUGUGAUCUGGGUUAAAGCUUUCCUUAUCCCUUGUCCUGUGAUACACAGACAGGAAUGACUCCCUCUUGAUGUCUUAAGAGACAUUUCUGUGAGUAACUUAUAUUGUAGGUUUUCCUCUUUGCAGCCUCUCCUUACUAAGAUAUCUCUUGACAGUUAUAUUUAAUAGCUGGGGCUUCUGUCACAGUAAAGUAAGCUUACCUCAGCUCUGAUUUCUCUUGCUACACAUUCUUCAUUGAAUGGGUCCUGUUUCCCUUCCAUACAUUCAGAAUCUCUUAUGCCCAUGUCACUAAACCUUAUUUUUAGUCUUGUUCUUGUUAAUCAUUGUGAUUCACUUAUUUUCCAAGUAUUCCUUCAACUUUUGUUCACUAUUUUUUGUAGAAUGCCAUGCUGUGAAGCAUCUGCGGUGGAUUCCGACUUCAAAGAUAACUUUUAAGUUGUCUUUACAUUUCGUCAUUUCUCUUUCCCUUUGCUGUUUUCUUCACAGUGGGAGCAGAAAUGUUUUUUCCAGGGUGUGAAUAUAGUUCUGCAUAUAUUUUGUGGUGUUUUUUUCUGUUAAUAACCAGGAUUUGUAUCCUCUACUUCAUCUCAGGCUUUACUUGACUCCAUCAUUGCAUUUGUACCCCGGGGAGAAUGGCUCUUUACCACCUCCUCAGGCUUCUGCAAUGUUACCUACAGAAGCACAUUUUUACCCCUGGUUUUCCUUCUACCUGGGAUGACUUCAUUUUCUUUACUUGCCUAACAGUUUAACACCAGAUACUAGCUUUCUCAUUCCUCAGAUUAUUUAUGCAAACUUUGGUUUCAAUUAUCUGCACAUAUUGCAAGUUUCACGAGGACAAAGACUGCCAUUGUCACCGUUGACCUUUUCUCUGAGGCCUAACUGAUAGGAGAAGCACCAGUGGUGAAGCACUAAAUUGAGGUAAAGUGCUAAUUGUGACCCUGAGAGGUGGCUUUUGUCACCUGUCAAAGUGAACUGGUUAUGUGUAAACAGCGUUACCACCUCAUAGAAAGCAUCCUGUAAUUAAUCUUUGUAUGAAGAGUCUCUGCCUUCCAAAUUCUGAGUUCUCCGAGGGUGGUUGCAGCUCUCUUUUAUCUCAGAGCGCACGUUUUUGCAGUUAAGAGUGCAGAACUCAAGUCGGCAGUGGUGGCGCACGCCUUUAACCCCAGCACUCUGGAGGCAGAGGCAGGAGGAUCUCUGUGAGUGGAGGCUAGCCUGGGCUACGGAGUGAGUUCCAGGAAAGGCGCAAAGCUAUCCAGAGAAAUCCUGUCUCGAAAAACAAACAAACAAAAAAAAGAGUGGAGAACUCAGGCGGUGGUGGCACACGCCUUUAAUCCCAGCACCCGUAAGACAGACAGGCGAUCUCUUAGUUCGAGGCCAGCCUGGUCUACAAAGCAAGUUGCGGUACAGGCUCCAAAGCUACACCGAGAAACCCUAUCUGGGACCCCCACUCCGGAUUAAAAAAAAAAAAAAUAGAGUGGAGAACUCUCAGCGAAUACUCUACGAAUAACUCUUUCAGAGGACGGGUCUAUUGCCAGCAGUCACGUCUAGUAGCUUACAGCGGCCUGGUACUCCAGUUCCAGGGAGUACUCACACUGUUUUGGCCUCUGCUCUUAGAGACCUCUUCA